rnacentral:rRNA from 1 species
UGAACGCUAGCUACAGGCUUAACACAUGCAAGUCGAGGGGCAGCAUGAUCUUAGCUUGCUAAGAUUGAUGGCGACCGGCGCACGGGUGAGUAACGCGUAUCCAACUUCCCCUUAGUAGAGGAUAGCCCGGCGAAAGUCGGAUUAAUACUCUAUGUUGUAUUUUGAGGACAUCUGACGAAUACCAAAGAUUCAUCGCUAAGGGAUGGGGAUGCGUCUGAUUAGCUUGUUGGCGGGUAACGGCCCACCAAGGCAACGAUCAGUAGGGGUUCUGAGAGGAAGGUCCCCCACAUUGGUACUGAGACACGGACCAAACUCCUACGGGAGGCAGCAGUGAGGAAUAUUGGUCAAUGGGCGAGAGCCUGAACCAGCCAAGUAGCGUGCAGGACGACUGCCCUAUGGGUUGUAAACUGCUUUUAUGCGGGAAUAAAGUGCGGGACGCGUCCCGUUUUGUAUGUACCGCAUGAAUAAGGACCGGCUAAUUCCGUGCC